rnacentral:rRNA from 1 species
GAGUUUGAUCAUGGCUCAGGAUGAACGCUGGCGGCGUGCCUAAUACAUGCAAGUCGAGCGAACGGACGAGAAGCUUGCUUCUCUGAUGUUAGCGGCGGACGGGUGAGUAACACGUGGAUAACCUACCUAUAAGACUGGGAUAACUUCGGGAAACCGGAGCUAAUACCGGAUAAUAUUUUGAACCGCAUGGUUCAAAAGUGAAAGACGGUCUUGCUGUCACUUAUAGAUGGAUCCGCGCUGCAUUAGCUAGUUGGUAAGGUAACGGCUUACCAAGGCAACGAUGCAUAGCCGACCUGAGAGGGUGAUCGGCCACACUGGAACUGAGACACGGUCCAGACUCCUACGGGAGGCAGCAGUAGGGAAUCUUCCGCAAUGGGCGAAAGCCUGACGGAGCAACGCCGCGUGAGUGAUGAAGGUCUUCGGAUCGUAAAACUCUGUUAUUAGGGAAGAACAUAUGUGUAAGUAACUGUGCACAUCUUGACGGUACCUAAUCAGAAGGCCACGGCUAACUACG